rnacentral:misc_RNA from 1 species
CGAAAUGCGAUAAGUAGUGUGAAUUGCAGAAUUCAGUGAAUCAUCGAAUCUUUGAACGCUCAUUGCGCCCUUUGGUAUUCCUUAGGGCAUGCCUGUUCGAGCGUCAUCUAAACCCUCAAGCCCUGCUUGGUGUUGGGUGCCUGUCCCGCCCCCGUGCGCGGACUCACCUCAAAUCCAUUGGCGGCCCUCGUGCCGGCCCCGAGCGCAGCAGAAACGCGGUCUCGUGGCCCGGCGGAGCGUGCCCCCAGAAGCAACAUUCACCGUUUUGACCUCGGAUCAGGUAGGGAUACCCGCUGAACUUAAGC